rnacentral:sRNA from 1 species
UUUUCAAACCUUUUGAACUUAAAUCAAAUUAAUAUUAUUAAUUGUCAUUUACUAUUGUGGGGAGAUGAAUCUCUGAGUGUCAAUUUAAACCAACAUAUUUUUUUAGCUGUUCAAAGAUUUAUAAGAGAUUGUGGCAGAUUCUUGUAAUUUCAAUUUUACUGCCUAAACCAAAUUCAACAGAACUGUUUAUACAUGUAUGUUUGUUCAAUAACUUAACUAUAUUAGUAAUAUCCAUUUCUAUGUACUUUCCAUUCUAAACUACUAUACAGUUGUAAAUUGUUAUACUUGGUAAGAACCUCGUAAGUUGUAAGAACUUGUGUUCGAACCAUUUGUAUAUAUUUAUACAAUAAAAUAUGUUCAAACCA